UGAACAUAAGUCAUAUUUUUCCUCAUGGCACUCAUCAAGAGAAACACAAGGAUGGUCAUGUACAACAUAGCUGUUGCCUUAUUGGUCAUUGUGUUCAUGUUCUCAAAGUUGCCGUCCUGCCAAGCAAUUCAACGACGCUCAUGCAGAGAUUUAGCGGGUUGCACUCAUGAGUCGUGCCAGAGUGACUGCUUAGAAAGAGGCUUUCGUCCACCUUAUCAAUUGGAAUGUGAAACCAACCAGCAUCAUCUUCAGUGCUGCUGUAGACAAUUCAGUUCCAUAUUAAAAUGAGAGCCACAAAGUUUCUCAGCUUAUGCAAUGCAAUGCUGUAUACUGAUGCCAAUAAUUGAAUAAACUUAUAAACAUAGGUAUUAGAGGCAUCAAUCUCAUUGGAUUGCCAUGGAACAUUUUAAUGAAGGAAGACUGACCACAUA